rnacentral:piRNA from 1 species
UGUUUUUUAAUGUAGUACUUG